rnacentral:rRNA from 1 species
UAAUACGGAGGGUGCGAGCGUUGUCCGGAAUCACUGGGCGUAAAGGGCGCGUAGGUGGCGAAGCAAGUCAACGGUGAAAGCUCGACGCUCAACGUCGAGUCGGCCGUCGAUACUGCAUCGCUCGAGCACUGUAGAGGCAGAUGGAAUUCCGGGUGUAGCGGUGGAAUGCGUAGAGAUCCGGAAGAACACCGGUGGCGAAGGCGGUCUGCUGGGCAGUAGCUGACACUGAGGCGCGACAGCGUGGGGAGCAAACAGGAUUAGAUACCCUGGUAGUCCACGCCGUAAACGAUGGGCACUAGGUGCUUGGGGGAGCGACCCCCUGAGUGCCGCCGCUAACGCAUUAAGUGCCCCGCCUGGGGAGUACGGCCGCAAGGCUG